rnacentral:tRNA from 1 species
GGGGCUGUAGCUCAGCGGUAGAGCAUCCGGUUUGCAUCCGGGGGGUCAGGGGUUCAAAUCCCCUCAGCUCCACCA